GACCAACAGAAUCAAAAUUAGGCCAGGAGCUGAAGGUGGACGUUUCCUUCACCAAUCCUCUCUCAAAAGCUUUAACUAAAACUUACCUGAUGAUUGACGGAGUGGUACAAGCCACGAGAUUAGAAAUGAGCAAAGUUCCAGCGAAUGGUGUGUUUCAAUCAACUGUGAGUGUUACACCAAACAAAGUUGGCAAGAAAGAAUUGAUCGUUGUUUUUAACUCUAGAGAACUGGAAGAUGUGAAUGGCAGUUUACCGAUCUUAAUCAAUUCUUCUUGAUAAAAUAAUGAAAUCAAUUCUUCAUGAUGAAGUGAAUUU
rnacentral:sRNA from 1 species